UACGGAGGGAGCUAGCGUUGUUCGGAAUUACUGGGCGUAAAGCGCACGUAGGCGGCUACUCAAGUCAGAGGUGAAAGCCCGGGGCUCAACCCCGGAACUGCCUUUGAAACUAGGUAGCUAGAAUCCUGGAGAGGUCAGUGGAAUUCCGAGUGUAGAGGUGAAAUUCGUAGAUAUUCGGAAGAACACCAGUGGCGAAGGCGACUGACUGGACAGGUAUUGACGCUGAGGUGCGAAAGCGUGGGGAGCAAACAGGG
rnacentral:rRNA from 1 species